GACGAACGCUGGCGGCGUGCUUAACACAUGCAAGUCGAACGGAAAGGCCCUGCUUUUGUGUGGUGCUCGAGUGGCGAACGGGUGAGUAACACGUGAGUAACCUGCCCUUGACUUUGUGAUAACUUCAGGAAACUGGUGCUAAUACCUGCUAGGAGCUCCUGCUGCAUGGUGGGGGUUGGAAAGUUUCGUCGGUUGGGGAUGGACUCCGGGCUUAUCAGCUUGUUGGUGGGGUAGUGGCUUACCAAGGCUUCGACGGGUAGCCGGCCUGGGAGGGGAACCGGGCACAUUGGGACUGAGAUACGGCCCAGACUCCAACGGGAGGCAGCAGGGGAGAAUAUUGCACAAUGGGGGGACGCCUGAUGCAGAAACGCCGCGUGCGGGAUGAAGGCCUUCGGGUGGUAAACCGCUUUCGCCUGUGACGAAGCGUGAGUGACGGUAAUGGGUAAAGAAGCACCGGCUAACUACGUG
rnacentral:rRNA from 1 species